GACAGAGGGUGCAAACGUUGCUCGGAAUUACUGGGCGUAAAGCGCGUGUAGGUGGUCACGCAAGUCAGGUGUGAAAGCCCAGGGCUCAACCCUGGAAGUGCACAUGAUACUACGUGGCUGGAGUACUGAAGAGGAGAGCGGAAUUCCCGGUGUAGAGGUGAAAUUCGUAGAUAUCGGGAAGGAACACCAGUGGCGAAGGCGGCGAUCUGGGAAGAUACUGACGCUGAGGUGCGAAAGCGUGGGGAGCGAACAGG
rnacentral:rRNA from 1 species